rnacentral:rRNA from 1 species
GUACACUCCUACGGGAGGCAGCAGUGGGGAAUAUUGGACAAUGGGCGCAAGCCUGAUCCAGCCAUGCCGCGUGAGUGAUGAAGGCCCUAGGGUUGUAAAGCUCUUUUGUGCGGGAAGAUAAUGACGGUACCGCAAGAAUAAGCCCCGGCUAACUUCGUGCCAGCAGCCGCGGUAAUACGAAGGGGGCUAGCGUUGCUCGGAAUCACUGGGCGUAAAGGGUGCGUAGGCGGGUCUUUAAGUCAGGGGUGAAAUCCUGGAGCUCAACUCCAGAACUGCCUUUGAUACUGAAGAUCUUGAGUUCGGGAGAGGUGAGUGGAACUGCGAGUGUAGAGGUGAAAUUCGUAGAUAUUCGCAAGAACACCAGUGGCGAAGGCGGCUCACUGGCCCGAUACUGACGCUGAGGCACGAAAGCGUGGGGAGCAAACAGGAUUAGAAACCCCAGUAGUCCCAUGA